GGGGAAUAUUGGACAAUGGGCGAAAGCCUGAUCCAGCAAUUCCGCGUGUGUGAAGAAGGCCUUCGGGUUGUAAAGCACUUUAGGUUGGGAAGAAAAAACUUCUCCUAAUACGAGAAGCGUUGACGGUACCAACAGAAUAAGCACCGGCUAACUCUGUGCCAGCAGCCGCGGUAAUACAGAGGGUGCAAGCGUUAAUCGGAUUUACUGGGCGUAAAGCGUGCGUAGGUGGUUUCGUAAGUCGGAUGUGAAAGCCCCGGGCUCAACCUGGGAACUGCAUUCGAUACUGCGAGACUCGAGUUUGGUAGAGGGUGGCGGAAUUCCCGGUGUAGCGGUGAAAUGCGUAGAUAUCGGGAGGAACAUCAAUGGCGAAGGCAGCCACCUGGGCCUGAACUGACACUGAGGCACGAAAGCGUGGGUAGCAAAC
rnacentral:rRNA from 1 species